GAUGAACGCUAGCGGCAGGCUUAAUACAUGCAAGUCGAGGGGCAGCAUGACUGUAGCAAUACAGUUGAUGGCAACCGGCAAACGGGUGCGGAACACGUACAGAACCUUCCUUCGAGCGGGGAAUAGCCCAGAGAAAUUUGGAUUAAUACCCCAUAGUACAACGGAGUGGCAUCACUUUGUUGUUAAAGAUUUAUCACUUGAAGAUGGCUGUGCGGCUGAUUAGGUAGUUGGCGGGGUAACGGCCCACCAAGCCUGCGAUCAGUAACUGGUGUGAGAGCACGACCAGUCACACGGGCACUGAGACACGGGCCCGACUCCUACGGGAGGCAGCAGUAAGGAAUAUUGGUCAAUGGACGAAAGUCUGAACCAGCCAUGCCGCGUGGAGGAUGAAGGUCCUCUGGAUUGUAAACUUCUUUUAUAUGGGACUAAAAAAGGGUUUUCUAACUCGUCUGACGGUACCAUAUGAAUAAGCACCGGCUAACUCCGUGCCAGCAGCCGCCGUAAUAC
rnacentral:rRNA from 1 species